AGAGUUUGAUUAUGGCUCAGGAUGAACGCUAGCUACAGGCUUAACACAUGCAAGUCGAGGGGCAGCAUUGGGGUAGCAAUACUCAGAUGGCGACCGGCGCACGGGUGAGUAACACGUAUCCAACCUGCCGCUUACUCGGGGAUAGCCUUUCGAAAGAAAGAUUAAUACCCGAUGGUAUAAAGAGUUCGCAUGUUCUCUUUAUUAAAGAAUUUCGGUAAGCGAUGGGGAUGCGUUCCAUUAGAUAGUUGGCGGGGUAACGGCCCACCAAGUCUACGAUGGAUAGGGGUUCUGAGAGGAAGGUCCCCCACAUUGGAACUGAGACACGGUCCAAACCCCUACGGGAGGCAGCAGUGAGGAAUAUUGGUCAAUGGACGAGAGUCUGAACCAGCCAAGUAGCGUGAAGGAUGACUGCCCUAUGGGUUGUAAACUUCUUUUAUAAGGGAAUAAAGUGAGGGACGUGUCCCUUUUUGUAUGUACCUUAUGAAUAAGGAUCGGCUAACUCCGUGCCAGCAGCAGC
rnacentral:rRNA from 1 species